GCCUGGUGUCUUCAGCUCGAGGCUGACCUCUGCUGGACAUCUGCACACAGACACAAGGCCCAAAGAUGAACCAGCUGAGGGGAGUUGAGUGUUCCCAGCCUCCCUUUGUUCCUGUCUGAAGCUCCCAGAUGUGGGAGUUGAGGAACUCCCUGAUGUGGAAUUCUCGUUCCCAGCAAACAAUCCCAGUCCAUCUGGGUGUGUCGAGUCUUUCCGACCUCCUUCCCGGCCAUCUGAUCCAACCCACCGCCAGGUAGGGAUCGGUUGACAGCCUCCCCCUCUCUAUACCCAAGUGUCAAAGACACAUGGCCAAAGGUCGCCUGAAACGCCGAUAAAGUCGACCAUCGACCUCCUGCCAAGAGCAUCCUGGUGCCACAUGUAGAGAUGGACAUAGUUGUCCUGGGGUUCAGAUCAUGUUGUUGUUCAGACACACGAGGUAUACAUUUGUAUGAACCCCUUUUGUAUUUUAGGGUAAACUUCUUUUAUAUUAAUUAUAUUUGUUUAAAGAUGGGGGUAAGGGUACAAAAGAAAAUGGGAAAUAAGUUGUUGAAGAAGUCCGAGUGAUUUAAAAGUAGGAAGGGUGGAAUUACAAAAAGAGGCAACAAGUUGCUGGAGGUUUAUCAUUAUCAGGUUCAAAUGUAGAUGUUAGUCAAAGGGGCGGGGCCUAUCCACACACUGAAAUAUUACAUACAUACUGCUGGUUCUAAAACCCUUCACGCACAUACAUGUCGACAUGCAUUCAGUACAUGCAGAGCAGCUCACACGCACAUACUGCAUGUGUGGGGCGCGUUCUCUCCUCGCAAAGAGCCUCAACUAUUUUUGUCCCACCUGGCUUUCCAUAGUACCCCGGUGCUUUGUUUACCGGUGGUCACGUGGCAUGUUUUGAAUGGCGCUCCGGAGACGCGUUUUUGAAUACGUCACAGUGGCAACACGCAAAUGUUUGGCGUUCAGUGGUACGGAACACCGGACCAAGCAAAAACAGUCACAAAACCUGAAAACACAACAUGAACACAACAAAUCGUAGCUUAAAAAAAAACUAAGCAAGUGGACACCGUUCCAUAAGAAAUGAUGUCCGGAUGUCUCUAUAAAAAACAAAUUUCAAGGUCAUAUUUACAAGGAGUUUAUAAACCGGAAAUGUAGACUCAUUUUCUUCCUAUUGUUGAUCAAAAAUCUAGAAAAAAACAGUGAGAAACUUAAAAAAAGGAUGACUGUGUUAAAGUUUAGCCAAUUCUGCAAAAUUAAAUUUCAUUGCAGUCUAAGACAAAAGACAUACCUUGGAUUUGGUUCGGUCCAGUCAGUAGCAUUUAUAGAAAACACUGGAAUGAAUAAAAAUGGUGUGUAAAGAAAAAUGGUAGAGGUGGAGGGGAUCAGUUCAACUGCGGGUCUCUCCCAAAUUAGGUGGAUGGAUGGAAUGUAGUAUACUUUAUAAAACAUUUUAAAAAUCUGUCAUACUGUGACAUUCCAUAUCCCACAUUUUAAUACAGGUGUACUGUAUAAAAUCCCGCAUUUUUUGUUAAUUUUUGUGUGAAAUGAAAUCAGUACUUUUUGUAUUGAAAGAAAAAGAAAUGUGUUUAUAAUUAACCAUUACACGAUGUUAAAAAUGAGUGGAUCAAAUUAGAGACAGUGGGUAAAUAAGGUACUUGUUUUCUGAACACCCGAGUAUAUGUUUGUGUCUUAAACUAACAAUGCUGUGAGCAAAAACUCACCAAAAUUACCCAAUAUAUCAAAAUUGCAACUAUCUAUAACUAAUAAAAGUUAUUUUGUAUAAUCAUUUUUGUAUCAUCAAAGGGUUUAGAAAAAUUUACAUUUCUGUACAUUUGUUGAUGUUGUGGACUUUUCGGGGGUAAUAGGUGAUUCAUGAAGGCACUGGUAGGUUUUUCUUAUCACCAUGCAAAAAAA